rnacentral:rRNA from 1 species
GACGAACGCUGGCGGCGUGCUUAACACAUGCAAGUCGAGCGGUAAGGCCCUUUGGGGUACACGAGCGGCGAACGGGUGAGUAACACGUGAGUAAUCUGCCUUUGGCUUGGGAAUAACUUCGGGAAAUCGGGGCUAAUGCCUGAUGUUUACUGUCUGCUGCAUGGUGGGUGGUGGAAAGAUUUUUUGGCCAGGGAUGAGCUCGCGGUCUAUCAGCUUGUUGGUGGGGUAAUGGCUUACCAAGGCUUUGACGGGUAGCCGGCCUGAGAGGGUGUUCGGCCACACUGGGACUGAGACACGGCCCAGACUCCUACGGGAGGCAGCAGUGGGGAAUAUUGCGCAAUGGGCGUAAGCCUGACGCAGCGACGCCGCGUGGGGAUGAAGGCCUCGGUU